CUGGUAGGGCCGGCAUAAUGAAAUACCAUUCUUAUCAUGUAAUUUACUGAUGCCCUGCUUCCCGUCCCCCUUUGGGAUUCCUGGCAGCUGACCGAUAAAAAUGAGAGCGGUUGAGACUAGAUGUCAUUCUGCAAUUCUUGCAGGGUCCCAUCUCCUCUGUUUAUAUAUCUAUGGUUCCCAUCUUCAAGGGUCAGGCUAGAUGGCCCCUGGUUCAUCACCCCUCCGCCCUUCCCCUGCAGGACUCAACGGGAGCUUCCCAGUGGAGCUGAGCCAUGGAAGCCAGAUUGUCCCCUGUGGCGAAGCCCUGCGUCACCUUUAGGUGCCCGGCGCCCCCUGCUGGCCUACACCGGAAGAAUCCGCAGUGCUUUCCAGGUCCCCGGACCGGCGCCCCAGGUGAGCCGUGCCUGCCAAGCAGCUGCGUGGCCCCUGCCCACACCAAGGACUGUGGCGACGGUGGAGAUGAAUGGGGUUGCGGUGAGUGGUCAAGGGGGCAUUUGAGGCCAGGGGAACAUUGGUGCCACCAGAAGGGAGGGGGUUACCAGUGUCGCAGGAAACCCCCCCCCCCCAAUCAUUCAGUUUUUAUAAACUUCACUCACACACUACAUACGCUACACUUCUGUUAUAAAUUCAUAGAAAAUCAACCAUACAUCGGAUUUGCACUGUUCCACUUUGUAACCACGUUUUUGCACCACUGCGGCCCCAGGCAACAGUGGGUGCGUGAUUUUUUUUGGUGCAAGCUGUAGCCAUGGACAUGCUAUGUGAUCUGAUGGUGAAUUUGGGGUGACCCAGUGCAAAAAUCCUGAGGAUCCAUGUGGAUCCGUGCUUUGUAACCACGUGAAUGAAGGAACUGUCAGUAAUGUAUGGUAUCUCCAAUACAGUGAUGAAGGAAGGGGGGGGGCUCACACUUAUCCUAGGCAAAGCAGCCAACUCCUAUAGGCCUAGGUGCCUUCACCCCCUCCAUUAAAUAUUUGAGGGAGUCAUCCUCCCCCCAUGCUGAUGGGCAUUGCCAUUCAUAUAAGGUACCAGUGUGCAUGCACUUUGUCUUGAGACCAUUGCAGUCUGUGAGAUGGGGCUUACCUGUACCUGCCCCCCCCCAUAUUUUAUUGAAAUUGGAAGAGGGAGGGAGGGAGGGAAGAGAGAUGGAGAGCUCACAUUUGUCCUAGGCAAAGCAGCCAACUCCUAUGGGCCUAGGUGCCUUCACCCCCCCCCCGGUUAAAUAUUUGAGGGAGUCAUCCCCCAUCCCCCAUUGUGGUAUGUGAGUGGGGCUUACCUGGCUGUCCCCCCAAUAUUUUCUGAAGUUGGAAGAGGGAGGGAGGGAGGGAAGGAAGGAAGGAAGAGAGAGGGGGAGCUCACAUUUGUGCAGCUGCCUUGCCUCUAACCGAAGCAAAAAGAGGAGGAGACGCAGGGACACGAGCCUUGUAAGCCGCUUUGUUUGAAUUUACCGGUGAGGUGCUGGGGGAGUGACGGAAGGGGAUGCCCUCUUUGUCCCUCCUUCCAGCUCAU
rnacentral:lncRNA from 1 species